UCCUCCGUAGCUCAAUGGUAGAGCAACCGGCUGUUAACCGGUUGGCUGUUGGUUCGAAUCCAGCCGGAGGAG
rnacentral:tRNA from 2 species